rnacentral:rRNA from 1 species
UUAACGGAGAGUUUGAUUCUGGCUCAGGACGAACGCUGGCGGCGUGCUUAACACAUGCAAGUCGAACGGUGAUGGCCAGCUUGCUGGUCUGAUCAGUGGCGAACGGGUGAGUAACACGUGAGCAACCUACCCCAGACUCUGGAAUAACCAUGGGAAACGAUGGCUAAUACCGGAUACGAGACACACGCGCAUGUGUGGUGUCUGGAAAGAUUUAUCGGUCUGGGAUGGGCUCGCGGCCUAUCAGCUUGUUGGUGGGGUAGUGGCCUACCAAGGCGACGACGGGUAGCCGGCCUGAGAGGGCGACCGGCCACACUGGGACUGAGAUACGGCCCAGACUCCUACGGGAGGCAGCAGUGGGGAAUAUUGCACAAUGGGCGCAAGCCUGAUGCAGCGACGCCGCGUGAGGGAUGACGGCCUUCGGGUUGUAAACCUCUUUCAGCAGGGAAGAAGCGAAAGUGACGGUACCUGCAGAAGAAGCGCCGGCUAACUACGUGCCAGCAGCCGCGGUAAUACGUAGGGCGCAAGCGUUGUCCGGAAUUAUUGGGCGUAAAGAGCUCGUAGGCGGUUUGUCGCGUCUGCUGUGAAAACCUAAGGCUCAACCUUGGGCUUGCAGUGGGUACGGGCAGACUAGAGUGCGGUAGGGGUGACUGGAAUUCCUGGUGUAGCGGUGGAAUGCGCAGAUAUCAGGAGGAACACCGAUGGCGAAGGCAGGUCACUGGGCCGCAACUGACGCUGAGGAGCGAAAGCAUGGGGAGCGAACAGGAUUAGAUACCCUGGUAGUCCAUGCCGUAAACGUUGGGCACUAGGUGUGGGGCUCAUUCCACGAGUUCCGUGCCGCAGCAAACGCAUUAAGUGCCCCGCCUGGGGAGUACGGCCGCAAGGCUAAAACUCAAAGAAAUUGACGGGGGCCCGCACAAGCGGCGGAGCAUGCGGAUUAAUUCGAUGCAACGCGAAGAACCUUACCAAGGCUUGACAUACACCGGAAACUUCCAGAGAUGGUUGCCCCGCAAGGUCGGUG